rnacentral:tRNA from 1 species
GGUGGGGUUCCCGAGCGGCCAAAGGGAGCAGACUGUAAAUCUGCCGUCAUCGACGUCGAAGGUUCGAAUCCUUCCCCCACCACCA